GAUGAACGCUGGCGGCGUGCCUAAUACAUGCAAGUCGAGCGAACAGACGAGGAUCGUGCGCCGCUGACGUUAGCGGCGGACGGGCGAGUAACACGUGGAUAACCAACCUAUAAUACAGGGAUGACUACGGGAAAGCGGAGCGGAUAACGGCUAAUAGAUUGAACCGGAUGGUUCAAGAGUGAAAGACGGUGUUGGUGGCACUUAGAGAUGGAUCCGCGCCGCAUUAGCUAGUUGCUAAGUUAACGGCUUACCAAGGCAACGCUGCGUUGGCGACCUGUGAGGGUGGUCAGCCCCCCUGGACCUGAGCCACGGCCCAGACCCCUCCCGGACGCAGCAGUGGGGUAUCUUCCGCAAUGGGCGGAACCCUAGCCGAGACCAGCCGAGUGGGUGAUGAAGGUCUUCGGAUAGUAAAACUCUGCUGUUAGGGAAGAACAAAUGUGUAAGUAACUAUGCACGUCUUGACGGUACCUAAUCAGAAAGCCCCGGCUAACUCCGUG
rnacentral:rRNA from 1 species